CCACUGUCCUCCCUCUCGUUGCAGAGAGACUGUCCUGCGGGAAGCUCGAUGUGACCUGGCCUCCCCCAGCCGUGUCGGAGAGCCCCCAAGAGAAUGGGCUGGACCAGGUGGAGAAAAGCCCCCGGAGCCUUCGCCAGAAAAGUGCCUUAAUCCAGCACUGGGAGUCAGGAGCUGUCAGCAACCAGGAGAGCCGGGAGUAGGGAGCAGCGCUGAGGAGGGAAGGGAGAGAAAAUGGGGGGGGACACAUCCCAGCAUCUCGCAUCCUGCUCCAGAACCUACCCCCCACUUGAUCCUUCCAGGAUCCCACUACUGGAACCACCGUGUGCCCUUCCCACCUACCUGAUUGGACAAAGCUUUAAUGCAUGUGACCACCCAGGCUGCUUUGAUUGGGUGAUGAACUACUUCGCUUCACCUCCUCCCACCCCAGCUUUCUCCAUGGACCAAUCAGGAGAGACCUAGGUGAAACACAUUGUAGUUGAUUAUUUGUUAGAGCAAGCCAAAUCCCAAAUUAAAGGGAUUUUGGAUCCAUGGAAGGAUGAGGCCUUUAAUACUCUGGACUAGGCACUGAUCUGAGCUAUCCCAGUGUGACUCCAGAAUCACUCAAAGGAGGCAGUGUAAAGGCAAUCAGAACCUGGUUCUCUAUUGAACGUAAAACGUGUGGAUCAGAAUCUCCAUCACUUUGAACUCUGGGCUGGGUGGGAUUACUAUUAGUGUGGCCUUGAUUUCCUACAUGUCCUUGUCCAAGUCACUUCACCACUCUGUGCCUCAGUUUCUCUAUCUUUUUAAAUAGUGGGAUGAUAAUGCGUCCCGCGGCAGAAAUCAUGAACAUUUGGCCAAAGCACUAGUACAACUUUGAUCCCAAACGUAGUAAGCCUCAAAUGGUCUCCUCCCCAGAAGCAGUCGCUUCUGAAACAAGCCGAUAGAGUAGAUUGUGCACAGGCAUGAAAUCAUCUUGGGAAGAAGCUACAGGGCGUUUUAAGCGAAAAGGGUUUAAGAAAAAGAAUCAAUAAAUGAAAACAAAAGCACCAAGCGACUUGACUUAUUGCUGCCACGAUUCAAAGUGGAGUAACACAAAGGUGGUCAAGAUUGCGCGGUCACAGCAGGGCCACCCUGUCGGCUUCAUCAACAGUAAUCAGAUUAAUUAGGUUUUAUGUAACGACACUGCCUGAGCCAGCUCAGUGAUUUCCAUGGGCGUUUUGCCUGAGUGAGGACAGACCGGAUCAAGGGGGAGGGGCUGGCUGGGUAGAUGGUAGGAAGAGCUGGGAGGCCCCAUGGCAGAGGUUACUCUGGGAAUUCACCACUGCAGAGGCCUGGAGAGCAGCCCUGUGCUGCUAUAAAAUAGAGCCGCUCCCAGCUGCUCUAAGUGACGCAGACGUCAGGCACCU